UGAUGACAUUAGGCCUAGUUCCCACAGACUACAUUAUACUUUAUAGAUUUCUAGAUGUAUGUUAUGUGGAACAGAUGCUUUAUCAUGGAGAGCAAGGGGAAAUGCUAUCUCUUUGUGUCACAAAGUAUUUUUAUGCCUUGUCAGAUUUCAACAUGUGUCUUACAGGUCUCCAGAAAGGAGAGAUGAAUCCACUCCACAUCAGAUAAUGCAUUCUAGAAGCCAAAGAAAAAGAAGGCAGAGACAGCCAGCCCAGCCCUCAAUGGUGCCGAUGCCAAGCCCAAAAAGAGCAAAAGCAAGAAGAACGAAGACCUGUCUGGAGAGGAGAGCCCUGCAGUUCAAAGUACAAACUGCCCCUCACAUAUCUUCAGGACAAAUGGCAAAAAUAUGAAGAAUAUGCUGGAAAUAUGAAGAAUAUGUCCAUCACAUAAAAUUAUAUCAAUUUCAUUACAGGCCAUAUCCCUUGACCUACUUGAUUAUGAUGUCUAUUCUCUGUGAUUUUUGUCAAAUAGAUGGAAAAAAGGUGAAGAAAAAGAAACCAGAUGAACCAGAAAAAAAAGAAAAGGAAAAAGUGAAAGGAAAAGAGAAAGAAAAAGAGAAAGAUGAGCCAAAGAAGAAAACAAAAAGUGCGCCAAAGAAAAAGAAAGGUGAACAUUCAGCAAUAUACAGUUGCGGUUGGACAUUUACAUACACACAUCAUGGACAUGAAUGUCAUGGCAAUAUUGAGCUUUCAAUUAUUUAUUUGAUUUGUUCUUUUUCUGGAGUAGAAUGAUUGUACAAAAUUCAGCUCCGGGAAUAAUUAAGAGACCACUGCACCUUUUUCUUUCCUUUCCAAAAAAGUUGAAAAGGAAAGUUUUGAGUGAGG
rnacentral:lncRNA from 1 species